AAGGCAGUUGGGGGGGAGGGCAUGGCAAGACGGGUUCGCCUGCAAUGAGGAAGAAACCAGACCAGUGGUGGGUUGCUCCUGGUUCAAACCGGUUCUAUAGAACUGGCAGUAAAACCAGCGGGAGGCUCCGCCCACUGACCCUGACAUCAUCAGAAGCAAUCUGCGCAUGCACAGAAGUGAGGUGUGUCCGCGAGCGAAGCGAGCGCGCACACACGAUCCCAUUGCGAAUCGGUAGUAAAGAACAGAUACUACAGAAGAAGAGUGAUGGGUGAAAAUGGAAAUCUAAGUGUUUCAGAAAACAAAGCAAACAGCUAAGAUUAAGAUACCAAAAACAAAUGCCAUCAGAUCUUCAAAGGGAUGUUUCAUUUCACUGAAGGCAUGAGUGAAGUGCCCCUUCAGUUCUAGUCCCUCCUUAGACCCAAAGCCACCUAGAGGGAGACCUUGGGCCAUUCACUAUCUCUUCAGCCCUCAGAAAAAGGCAAUGGCAAACCAAUUUUGAAAAUCCUUCCAAGAAAACUGUGGGACUUGUCCAGACUGUUGCCAGAAGUCAAGACUGACUUGAAGGCAGAAAAUUAUAUUAUUGAACUGAAGCUAUAAAACAUGAGAAAAGAGUACCUGAAAGAAUUCCGCUUCCUUUAUGAGUUCCUAGAUCCUUCUGUUUUCUGGAUGCUCCUGCCAAAUGAAGUAAGGCUACAAGAAGGAACUACAAGAGGAGCCCCACCGUCUCUGGAAUUUCUGAAUAUAGUGCAAAUUCUACUCAG